AAAAUUUUAAUGGUCGAACAGACCAAACAUUUAAGCUUCUACACCUAAAUUUAAUUUUAAUCCAACAUCGAGGUCGCAAUCUUUUUUUUCGAUUUGAACUCUAAAAAAAAAUUACG
rnacentral:rRNA from 1 species